rnacentral:rRNA from 1 species
UCGAACGGUAACAGGAAGCAGCUUGCUGCUUCGCUGACGAGUGGCGGACGGGUGAGUAAUGUCUGGGAAACUGCCUGAUGGAGGGGGAUAACUACUGGAAACGGUAGCUAAUACCGCAUAACGUCGCAAGACCAAAGAGGGGGACCUUCGGGCCUCUUGCCAUCGGAUGUGCCCAGAUGGGAUUAGCUAGUAGGUGGGGUAACGGCUCACCUAGGCGACGAUCCCUAGCUGGUCUGAGAGGAUGACCAGCCACACUGGAACUGAGACACGGUCCAGACUCCUACGGGAGGCAGCAGUGGGGAAUAUUGCACAAUGGGCGCAAGCCUGAUGCAGCCAUGCCGCGUGUAUGAAGAAGGCCUUCGGGUUGUAAAGUACUUUCAGCGGGGAGGAAGGGAGUAAAGUUAAUACCUUUGCUCAUUGACGUUACCCGCAGAAGAAGCACCGGCUAACUCCGUGCCAGCAGCCGCGGUAAUACGGAGGGUGCAAGCGUUAAUCGGAAUUACUGGGCGUAAAGCGCACGCAGGCGGUUUGUUAAGUCAGAUGUGAAAUCCCCGGGCUCAACCUGGGAACUGCAUCUGAUACUGGCAAGCUUGAGUCUCGUAGAGGGGGGUAGAAUUCCAGGUGUAGCGGUGAAAUGCGUAGAGAUCUGGAGGAAUACCGGUGGCGAAGGCGGCCCCCUGGACGAAGACUGACGCUC